UACGAAGGGGGCUAGCGUUGCUCGGAAUCACUGGGCGUAAAGCGCACGUAGGCGGAUUGUUAAGUCAGGGGUGAAAGCCUGGAGCUCAACUCCAGAACUGCCCUUGAUACUGGCAAUCUCGAGUCCGGAAGAGGUAAGUGGAACUCCGAGUGUAGAGGUGAAAUUCGUAGAUAUUCGGAAGAACACCAGUGGCGAAGGCGGCUUACUGGUCCGGUACUGACGCUGAGGUGCGAAAGCGUGGGGAGCAAACAGG
rnacentral:rRNA from 1 species